CUCUUCCUUCUGGGUCUGCGGUUGACAAGGAGUGGUGGAGAGUGAGCGCUCCCCCUGCCUCCCAACUCCAUUCCAAAUGAGGUUUCCUGUCGAUAGAGCCCUCCAGGCACGACUGAUACUCCCUUUGUGACAUUUGAGAUGCUCUGAUUGCUUCAAGCUCCACCCUCCCCCCCUGCACCCCCCACCACCACUUCUGCUUUGGACUCAUAUCUCAGCGAGCUGAUAAGCAAGCCUGGGUAUUCCUUCCUUUGGUGACAGCGAGAUGUUCACACCACAGAAGCCUGGUGGACACUUUGAACCUAUCUGGGAAACUUGCCCUCUUAACCCCGGAAAGCCUUGUGAUUUGAGAAAUAAACCUUGUCAU